CAGGUAUUACUUCUAAAUUUCUAUCUGUAUGUUGUUUUGUCCUUUUACGGCUGCUUAUUUACCUAUUGAUCAGUGUUUGCUUUCUAGAGCAUGUUUGUUGUUGGUUUAGACGAAAAUUUAUAGUUUAAUUUCUGUGAAAAUCAUGCUAGCUAUCUGCUAAGUUCUGAAGGAUAUCAGGUUAAUGGUUUAAUUUCCAGAAUACGAGAUCAGUUCAAUUAGAUUUACAACUUGUGGGAGAUAAAUUUGCGUUUACCAGUUUUAGUUUGUUUAUUAGAUCUAGCAACCAAUAAACCAUGGAUUCUGGUAGCGCAUUAUGUCGUCUUCUAGCUAGCUGAUAUUUUUUUGUCCGAUUUUUCAUGGGAUAUAUUUUCUCGGAAAUUCACUAAUCUAUCUUGCCAUUUUCUAUUCAUUUCUUUCCUCUUUGAUACGACAACAACGGUAAAAACUUACCUACCCCGGGUCUUUACCCUAAACCAAUAGAUACAUGACAUGUAUCUUCAAUCAUUUAGCCAUGGUAAAUUAUAUGAAUUCUUAAUUAAUUAAAUUAAUUAAUCAUAGUGAGUUAAUAUAGUUUAGUAUAAACACCUGACGUGAUAAACAUUUACCCAACAACAUACCCAAUAAAAUCUUAUUCUUUGAUAACUCACGUUUUCCUUUCCUUGUUGCUUAAUAGUACAAAUAAUAACUCUUAAAAUGCUGCGUGCUGAAGUGGAAGGCUUAUCGGAUAAGGACGUCUCACCCACUAAUAUCCCUAAUUGUCUCUUAACGGUGCAUCAUAGGAAUUUCCGCUCACAAAAUAUAUUAAAUAUUAUUCCCUGAGCCUUGCACACAUAUGUAACAAUAUCUGAACCAUUGAACUUUCCCAAUGUAAUUGACGGUAAGAUGACGAUCUAUAUUUAUACUCCCUCGUCCCAUGUGAAAUGUUCGAGAAUUAAAUGAAUUUUUUUUAUCGUGAUUUUUUAAAAUAUAUCUUUUAAAUAUUAAUUAUUGUGACUUAUAAUAUUUUUUAUAUAAUUUCUAAGUAUGUAAAUUUUAUUUUUAAAAAUUUAAAAUUAUGUUCAAAUUUACAGUCAAAUAAAAAAUUUGAAUCUUAAUAGGCAAAUAGUAUCACAUAAAUUAAGAUAGUGCUAUUAUUUUUUACUACAACAAAUAGAGAGAGUUAGAUGUAAGAUGUAACCGUCUAACCGGAACCUUACCGAAACUUGGAAGGAAAAAGAAGAAAGUUAGGAAAGGAGUAGGUGAGUAGGUCUGUAGGUGAAACUAUAGGGGCCCGCAUCAAAAUAAAGGCUUGAGAUAAAAAAGAUGAGAUAGAAGAACUUGACACGACAUGUGGGGUUGAUGUUAUUUUACCUUUUUGAAGCAGCAAUGUUGCUGAUGAUUGGGUUGAACUAUUUGUUCUUGGUAGGUAUUAGGAAAUGGGACCUGGAUCACGUGAUAUGUCAACGUUAUAACAAUUUUACUGUGGCCCAGAAACAGGAGUUAGUGAUACGGUUUAACUCCAGUCUAGUGAAAUUUUCAAUCAUUUUUCUUGUUUGCUGUUUUAAAAAAUUUAAGGACCAACAAUCCAAAUGUAUGCUUGAUUAAAGUUAAUGAUGAUAUAUACCUGUUUUAUGGAUUUUAUGGUAUUGUAUAUUAUUUUAUUAUGAGUCUAUUGAUAGUACUAAUAUAGUGUCUUUUGUUGCCUUCUUGAGCCGAGGGUCUCCUGGAAACAGCCUCUCUGCCCCUCGGGGUAGAGGUAAGGUCUGCGUACAUAUUACCCUUCCCAGACCCCACUUGUGGGAUUACACUGGGUUGUUGUUGUUGUUGAUGAUGAUAUAUACCUGUUGUUGCGGUUACUUCCAACACACAGCAUUGUGACAAGAGGGGUUGGUCAGCACCUCACCUACAAUAGGGGCGGCAAACGGGCGGGUCGGGAUAUGAGACGGGAUGACUGGCAGACAAUAUAUAACCAUAUUAUCCAUAUCACUUUUGGGAGAAUUCCUAGUCUUUCAAACUCGAAGAACCUCCAAUUUGAGGCUUUACAAAUGUAAAAGUUAAACCUAUUAGUUAUCUAUUUUUUAAGUGGAUAAUAUGAUUCUUAUCCAUAUUUGACCUGUUUUUAAAUAGUUCAUUAUCCAACCCAUAUUUUAGAUGGAUUAUAUGGGUGGAUAAUUAUUUUCUUUUAUUCAUUUUGCCACCAAUACCUACAACGUCACGGUCGUGAGUUCUAAGUCCCAAAGGAGUAAUAACUCUAAUAAAGGGGAUCAAAAGGGAAGAGAAAAAAAAAUAAAGAAAAAGACACAGCAUUUGUGUACAAAUUCUUUAGGGCAUCCUUUAGCUUCUUGUAACUACACUAGCGCUUUUGCCAACAGUGUAGUCUACAUUAGUUUUUUACUUCUUUGUUAGGUUAACCCUGAUUUUUUCACUUCCCUAUAUUUGCAAAUCAAGUUGGAUUAGUUAUUAUUAGAUGCCUAUAUUUGAUGUUAACUUUGCCGUUUAAUUAAAGUUUGGUCGGUUUGGAAGGUGUCAUAAUCACGCGAGUAUCCCGAUAUUUGGGCACGAAAUAUGUUGGGCAUGUGUGGCAACAGUUACUGCAUGUACCUAUACUCACUCGAGUCACUGUAGAUGUAAAUCUCAAGGAGUUAUAUAUGUGGAUAUAAUGACAAGGGGUAACAUAUUUGUACUCUUCGUUCAUGGAUUAAGUGGAUUAAUUAAGUAGUUAAUUGUAUUAUUGUGCAGGAGGGGAGUGCAGACAUCGGUUUACGACAAGAACCCGGAGGAUCAUGUGCGGGAUUCAGUGGUGCCGGAUGAAGUGAUAGAGCCACAAUCAGAAAAAUACUGGGGUCCUCACCCACAAACUGGGGUGUUUGGGCCUGCAGCCACUGAUAGUGCUGGUGGGGAACGUGGUUUCCACUCCUCACCUGCCACUGCUGCUGCUGCUGAAUCCAUUUUGGAGCAGAAGGCCUUCUUCCGCCCUCUAGAGGACUUGGACAAACCCCAGCACGCCUAAGUUUCACAUUCCCUUAAUAGCUCCAGUGCGUCUAUCCUCACUGGCAAACUUAAGUCUAUAUAUAGUGUGUAGUGGUGGCUUUUAAUAAGUUUCUGUUUUGCUUGUGUUUAUGCGA
rnacentral:lncRNA from 1 species